rnacentral:rRNA from 1 species
GACGAACGCUGGCGGCGUGCUUAACACAUGCAAGUCGAACGAUGAAGCCGGAGCUUGCUCUGGUGAAUUAGUGGCGAACGGGUGAGUAACACGUGAGUAACCUGCCCUUGACUCUGGGAUAACUGCUAGAAAUGGUAGCUAAUACCGGAUACGACCCUCGGAGGCAUCCCCAGGGGGUGGAAAGAAUUUCGGUCAAGGAUGGACUCGCGGCCUAUCAGCUAGUUGGUGCGGUAAUGGCUCACCAAGGCGACGACGGGUAGCCGGCCUGAGAGGGUGACCGGCCACACUGGGACUGAGACACGGCCCAGACUCCUACGGGAGGCAGCAGUGGGGAAUAUUGCACAAUGGGCGCAAGCCUGAUGCAGCAACGCCGCGUGAGGGAUGACGGCCUUCGGGUUGUAAACCUCUUUUAGUAGGGAAGAAGCGAAAGUGACGGUACCUGCAGAAAAAGCACCGGCUAACUACGUGCCAGCCGCCGCCGUAA